CGGGGACUCUAGAGAUUAGAGUUUGAUCCUGGCUCAGGAUUAACGCUGGCGGCAUGCCUAAUACAUGCAAGUCGAACGAGAAAUUUAUUUCUAGUGGCGAACGGGUGAGUAAUGUAUUUCUAAUCUGCCCCAAUGUGUGGGAUAACUAUUGGAAACGAUAGCUAAUACCGCAUAGGAUACAGUGUGGCAUCACAUUGUGUUUAAAGGUGCGUUUGCAUCGCGUUGGGAUGAGGAAAUAUCACAUUAGCUAGUUGGUAGGGUAAAGGCCUACCAAGGCGAUGAUGUGUAGCCGAGCUGAGAGGUUGAUCGGCCACAAUGGGACUGAGACACGGCCCAUACUCCUACGGGAGGCAGCAGUAGGGAAUUUUCCACAAUGGACGAAAGUCUGAUGGAGCAAUGCCGCGUGAGGGAUGACGGUCUUCGGAUUGUAAACCUCUGUUGUAAGGGAAGAACACCCUGGAUAGGAAAUGAUCCAGGUUUGACGGUACCUUACCAGAAAGUCACGGCUAACUAUGUGCCAGCAGCCGCGGUAAUACAUAGGUGGCGAGCGUUAUCCGGAUUUAUUGGGCGUAAAGAGUGCACAGGUGGUUUAUCAAGUCAGGCGUUAAAGCCCGGGGCUCAACCCCGGUGUGCGUCUGAAACUGAUAGACUAGAGUAUCGGUGGGGUUAGUAGAAUUCCAUGUGUAGCGGUGGAAUGCAUAAAUAUAUGGAGGAAUACCAGUGGCGAAGGCGGCUAACUGAACGAUAACUGACACUUAAGCACGAAAGCGUGGGGAGCAAAUAGGAUUAGAUACCCUAGUAGUCCACGCCGUAAACGAUCCACACUAGACGUAGGGAAGACCCUGUGUCGCAGCUAACGCAUUAAGUGUGGCGCCUGGGUAGUAUGCACGCAAGUGUGAAACUCAAAGGAAUUGACGGGGACCAGCACAAGUGGUGGAGCAUGUGGUUUAAUUCGAAGAUACGCGAAGAACCUUACCUACACUUGACAUGCUUGGCAAUGCUAUGGAGACAUAGCGGAGGCAAACCGAUGCACAGGUGGUGCAUGGUUGUCGUCAGCUCGUGUCGUGAGAUGUUCGGUUAAGUCCGGCAACGAGCGCAACCCCUGCCUUAUGUUACUAACAUUCAGUUGAGGACUCAUGAGGGACUGCCUGGGCAACCAGGAGGAAGGUGGGGAUGACGUCAAAUCAUCAUGCCCCUUAUGUGUAGGGCUACACACGUGCUACAAUGGUCGGUACAAAGGGUCGCGAAGCCGCGAGGUGGAGCUAAUCCCAUAAAGCCGAUCUCAGUUCGGAUUGAAGUCUGCAACUCGACUUCAUGAAGUUGGAAUCACUAGUAAUCGUAGGUCAGCAAUACUACGGUGAAUACGUUCUCUGGUCUUGUACACACCGCCCGUCAAACCACGAAAGUCGGUAAUACCUAAAACCGCUGUCCUAACCUUUUGGAGGGAGGCGUCUAGGGUAGGAUUGAUGAUUGGGGUUAAGUCGUAACAAGGCCGUAAAUCGUCGACUGCAGCAGCA
rnacentral:rRNA from 1 species